CUUAAAUCUCGUGCAAGAAAGAUUUCAGGAUUCAAAGAAUUAGCUGGACUAUGUCUCCAGGUGGAUGACUCUAUGGAAACUUUGAGCUGUAUGGAACAACCUCCUGAUCAUCCAUUUACCUUGCUUUGGUACAUUAGGACUUUAAUAGAAACUGCCUAAUGUGCAGACGGAGUCUCACUCUUGUCACACAGGCUGGAGUGCAG
rnacentral:lncRNA from 1 species